GGGGAAUAUUGGACAAUGGGGGCAANCCUGAUCCAGCAAUACCGCGUGUGUGAAGAAGGCCUGAGGGUUGUAAAGCACUUUCAUUGGGANGAAANCGUNUAGGUUAAUANCCUAGCAGCCUGACGUACCUUAGAAGAGCACCGGCUAUUCUGC
rnacentral:rRNA from 1 species